rnacentral:piRNA from 1 species
CUGAGUUUGAGGCCAGCCGGGUCUA